CUACGGGAUGCAGCAGUGGGGAAUAUUGCACAAUGGGCGAAAGCCUGAUGCAGCAACGCCGCGUGAGCGAUGAAGGCCUUCGGGUCGUAAAGCUCUGUCCCCAAGGAAGAUAAUGACGGUACUUGAGGAGGAAGCCCCGGCUAACUACGUGCCAGCAGCCGCGGUAAUACGUAGGGGGCUAGCGUUAUCCGGAAUUACUGGGCGUAAAGGGUGCGUAGGUGGUUUCUUAAGUCAGAGGUGAAAGGCUACGGCUCAACCGUAGUAAGCCUUUGAAACUGAGAAACUUGAGUGCAGGAGAGGAGAGUAGAAUUCCUAGUGUAGCGGUGAAAUGCGUAGAUAUUAGGAGGAAUACCAGUUGCGAAGGCGGCUCUCUGGACUGUAACUGACACUGAGGCACGAAAGCGUGGGGAGCAAACAGGAUUAGAUACCCGGGUAGUC
rnacentral:rRNA from 1 species